AAGGGAGACCUAAUUCAGGUAGGAGACGAAAAAAAAGUAGUCGCUACCAAGAAUCAAUCCCAAAAGGUCGGAGCGAGGCGAAAUUGGCUUUCAAACUAGGUUCUGGGUUCAAACAAGACCUGAAUCAGGAACAAGGGCUAUUAGCUCAGGUGGUUAGAGCGCACCCCUGAUAAGGGUGAGGUCCCUGGUUCGAGUCCAGGAUGGCCCACCUGCACAGGUGGCAAAAACAAAGAAAAAAAGCUCCGAAUCAGCACCUUAUCUUACUUAUACAGUAAGAGAGAAUGCUGGCUCUGAGUUCAGAGUUCAGAGGAACCUUGAAAACUGCAUAGAGCUAGGUGAAAAAGCCAAAAAAGAAGACCGCAA
rnacentral:tRNA from 1 species